UUCUUUCUUACUUUUCCAUUCUCCUACCCCUUUAUUCACCCAACCCACAACUUUCAACCUCAUUUUUCAUCCCAACUAAACCUUAAGAGAGAGAAAGGAAGAAAGAAGAAAGGAAAAAGGAAGAGAAAAGCUCGGAGAAGGCUCGGCCUUAAAAGAGAAAAGAGAAAACCAAGAGGUUUUCCUCCCCACCCACACACCAUUGUUGAGGAUUUCAAGCAAUGAUCAAUAAAGAUCCAAGGAACUCGAGGCAUGCAUGUGAAAGAAUCUUAAAAUGCGUGGUGAUUUUGAGCUAGAUUAAGUGGUGUUUUCAGGAUCGAAGAUAGUUGGAUCCUAGGUCGAGGUGCUCCCUCCUAUUCAUCUUUCGGUAGGUUCACUACAACUCUCAAUGAUAGCACCCAUGCCCAGAGUCACUCUGCUGGUUGUCAAGGGUCGGUUGUAUGUUUAUAUGUGAUGGUUUAAUGUAAAUUGUGAGAUUUGUUGUGAACUUUGUAUGUACUUGAUUUUCACGAUUUAAAUUUGAAGAG